rnacentral:rRNA from 1 species
UACGAAGGGGGCUAGCGUUGCUCGGAAUCACUGGGCGUAAAGGGCGCGUAGGCGGAUCUUUAAGUCAGGGGUGAAAGCCUGAGGCUCAACCUCAGAAUUGCCUUUGAUACUGAAGAUCUUGAGACCGGAAGAGGUAAGUGGAACUGCGAGUGUAGAGGUGAAAUUCGUAGAUAUUCGCAAGAACACCAGUGGCGAAGGCGGCUCACUGGCCCGGUACUGACGCUGAGGCACGAAAGCGUGGGGAGCAAACAGG